CCCUUAGAUGUUCUGGGCUGCACGCGCGCUACACUGAUGCGCUCAACGAGUUUAUGACCUUGCCCGGAAGGGUUGGGUAAUCUUUUUAAAACGCAUCGUGAUGGGGAUAGAUUAUUGCAAUUAUUAAUCUUCAACGAGGAAUUCCUAGUAAGCGCGAGUCAUCAGCUCGUGCUGAUUACGUCCCUGCCCUUUGUACACACCGCCCGUCGCUCCUACCGAUUGAAUGGUCCGGUGAAGCGUUCGGACCGUGGCCUUUGGACGGUUCGCCGUCUGUUGGCUGCGGGAAGUUCGUUAAACCUUAUCAUUUAGAGGAAGGAGAANUCGUAACA
rnacentral:rRNA from 1 species